GGAGUAACACUGUGGCAACCUGCCCAAAAGAGGGGGAUAACACUUGGCUCCAGAUGCUAUUACCGCAAAAGCAUACUUACGGCUUGGUAACUAUGUAAAAGGUGGCUAUGCUACCGCUUUUGGAUGGGCCCGCGGCGCAUUAGCUAGUUGGUGGGGUAAAGGCUUACCAAGGCAAUGAUGCGUAGCCGAACUGAGAGGUUGAUCG
rnacentral:rRNA from 1 species